rnacentral:rRNA from 1 species
AUUUAGUGGCGAACGGGUGAGGAACACGUGAGAAACCUGCCCCGAACUUCGGGAUAACAGUUGGAAACGACUGCUAAUACCGAAUACCUCUGCGAAGUGGCAUCACUUUGCAAAGAAAGAAUUUCGGUUCGGGAGGGUCUCGCGGCCUAUCAGCUAGUUGGUGGGGUAACGGCCUACCAAGGCAUCGACGGGUAGCUGGUCUGAGAGGAUGAUCAGCCACACUGGGACUGAGACACGGCCCAGACUCCUACGGGAGGCAGCAGUGGGGAAUCUUGUGCAAUGGGCGAAAGCCUGACACAGCAACGCCGCGUGCGGGAAGAAGGCCUUCGGGUCGUAAACCGCUUUCAGCAGGAACGAAAAUGACGGUACCUGCAGAAGAAGGUGCGGCCAACUACGUGCCAGCAGCCGCGGUGACACGUAGGCACCAAGCGUUGUCCGGAUUUAUUGGGCGUAAAGAGCUCGUAGGCGGUUCAGCAAGUCGGGUGUGAAAACUCUGGGCUUAACCCAGAGCCUGCACCCGAAACUGCUGUGACUAGAGUUCGGUAGGGGAGCGGGGAAUUCCUGGUGUAGCGGUGAAAUGCGCAGAUAUCAGGAGGAACACCGGUGGCGAAGGCGCCGCUCUGGGCCGAAACUGACGCUGAGGAGCGAAAGCGUGGGUAGCAAACAGGAUUAGAUACCCUGGUAGUCCACGCCGUAAACGUUGGGCACUAGGUGUGGGUCUCUAACCAACGAGAUCCGCGCCGUCGCU